rnacentral:tRNA from 1 species
GCCUGGGUGGCUCAGUCGGUUAAGCAUCCGACUGCAGCUCAGGUCAUGAGCUUGUGGCUUGUGGGUUUGAGACCCACAUCAGGCU